GGUACCAGUUAACCAACAGUGUCCAGUGUCAUCGCACAAUGCAACAAGAAUCUGUGCCAGUGUUGACAGUUCAUCUCUACAACAGCUCUUGGACUCUGGGAUC